UACGAAGGGGGCUAGCGUUGCUCGGAAUUACUGGGCGUAAAGCGCACGUAGGCGGCUCUUUAAGUCGGAGGUGAAAUCCUGGAGCUCAACUCCAGAACUGCCUUCGAUACUGAAGAGCUCGAGUCCGGGAGAGGUGAGUGGAACUGCGAGUGUAGAGGUGAAAUUCGUAGAUAUUCGCAAGAACACCAGUGGCGAAGGCGGCUCACUGGCCCGGUACUGACGCUGAGGUGCGAAAGCGUGGGGAGCGAACGAGG
rnacentral:rRNA from 1 species